rnacentral:ncRNA from 2 species
ACCCGUUCCGAGGGGAGCUCCGACGAGGAGCUGAGAUACCGCAUGCUUUGGCUGACCUUUUCGGAGGUGAAGCCGGGGACCGCGGUGACCCUUUGAACCUGAUCCGGGUCAUGCCGGCGAAGGGACAGGGAUGUUACAGGGUU